rnacentral:rRNA from 1 species
GUGCAGCAGUCGAGAAUACUUUACAAUGUGCGAAAGCACGAUAAGGGAACUCUGAGUGCCUCCUAAGGAGGCUGUUCAGGUGUCUAAAAAGCACCUGAAGGAAGGGCUGGGUAAGACCGGUGCCAGCCGCCGCGGUAACACCGGCAGCCCAAGUGGUAGCCACGUUUAUUGGGUCUAAAGCGUCCGUAGCCGGCUGGGUAAGUUCCUUGGGAAAUUUGGCUGCUUAACAGUCAAGCUUUCAGGGAAUACUGCCCGGCUUGGGACCGGGAGAGGUCAGAGGUACUCCAGGGGUAGGGGUGAAAUCCAUUAAUCCUUGGGGGACCACCGGUAGCGAAGGCGUCUGACCAGACCGGGGUCCGACGGUGAGGGACGAAGGCUAGGGGCGCGAACCGG